CAUACCAUACACAGUAUAGAUUCGUUUUUCAGUUUGGGAAUGGCACUUACUGAACACCCAUUUCCGUUUGAUGAAUGAAUUGACAGAUUUCUGCACAGAUCUGAUCGUUUUCUUCAUAUGGAGACUGUUCUUGCAAUAAGUAACCUAUUCUUGGGUCUUUUCGUCAUCUUAGGCUUCACGGCUUCAAGCGGUGCUUCUGUAGAGAUCUGGGGAGCAAUCUUCCUGGUCGUAUUUGCUCUUUUUCUCAUCAGUAAAAAGCUGAAAACCAAGAGAAUCAUCAUUGGAAUGGCAGUGAAGGCUUCGUUGAUUGGUAUCACGCUACUGAUUUCUUACUCAAAGAGCCUUAGAAGCAAUCAAGGAUUACUCCACAAUUGCAAGUUGAUUCCCACGAUAGUCUAUGGAUUGAAAUUAUGUACGAUUUUGAAUCCUUAAUAUUUUUUCGGAUAACACAAAUGUGGACUUGGGCUCUUAAACAAAAAACACCUUGAUUUUACAUUUUGAUUUUAAUUGCAGCUUAGGUCAACCUGAACCAAAUAGAAUGAAAUAAAACAUUUGUUAUUUAACAUGCAAUUGGUUGGCAUUGUUCGUAAUCCGGUGCUUGAUCUUUAUUACUGAACUUUUAAUUUUCUUGCCAUAUUUGAUGCUAUUGGUUGCAUCUCAGCUUAUAAACGUUUGGUACCCACACUACCCACACAGAUUGCAGCACUAGCAGUUAGUGAUGCAACCUUCAUCCCGGAUUUGGUUUGUACGGGUAUCUGGGGUGGAGCCUUUCUCGUCCUGUUUGCUUCUUGCUGCAAAAACGAAUGAAAACCUGUUAAUUUACUGAUACCGUUGAUAACCGCAAUAGCGCAAAUUUCCCAUAAAUUUUGUACACGUAGGCUGAAUACUGGUACCAUCAAAGCUCUGGCAGUCUAUUCCAUGUUGAUUGGAUUCACAUUAAUUGGGUUGCACGCUUGGAACGUAAGCUCGUACAGCGAGUUUAUCGAUAGAUGUGAAUGGUUUCAAUUUAGUAACGAAAUUGGAUUAUGUAAGUAAAUGAUUCUAUACUUUGGUUACACUGCAGGAGGGAUUUUAACUGACCUUCUCUUUUGAAAUAGGUGGCCGAGUAGCCAUCGACUCGUUGAUGAUUUGCAGCGGAGGUCUGGUUGUCAUUCUCAACAUAUUUAUAGCUUCAAAAGCUCCUCCUAUGACUAACGUCUUUGCUUAAAACAUUUGGAACAUGAAUGUUUACCUUGUACUACAUAUAAAAGAAACGAAAAAAAUAUUACUAAAACAUCGAGAAUGUGUACAGGCAUUUUUAAGCGAACUAAGAUCACUCUCUCACCUAUGACAUGAAUCAAAUAUUGACGUGUAGAACAUUGCAACAUACCGGAAAAACAGUGGCGCCACCGCAAUGGGGAUGAUUCAUUCGACAUGCCUCUUAAAUCCGAUUGCGUGCAAACGUACUGGCCUUUUACAGUUGAUUAGUAAUAGAAGACACUUUGACACUUAAGCAUUUCCUUUAUCAGUGGCACUGGUCGUUGAACGCUUGGUUGGCAUUCCAUAUGGCUUCAACUGGCAUUCGGAAUUAAGACGAUUUUGUUUCAUCAUGGCUAAGUGACGCUAAUCUAAAAAUAAAACAACAUGUUACGUUCAGUGGUUAUCGGAUAAUACUUAGGUCUAUCUCAAUAUAUAUCAAGUUUCGUUCUCACACCACACUAUACAAGUCGUGUUUUCGGUAGGCAUUAUUUAAAAAGUCACGAAACCGACCCUAAUUGGCGGGUUAAAACUUGAAUUCGUUUCUUCCUUAAUACGAUAAAUUUUUGUGUGAAAACAUGAACAAAAUUCUGUGUGUUACCAAUGUGCUUGCGGGUCUUCUAGCGUUCAGUUUGCAGAUAGCGGCAUUAUUCAUUUAUUUAGAAUGGGUUCCAUUUAUCAUAAUAUGGAUUAUCCUCUGGGGAGGAAUUUACCUAGUCAUCUUCGGUGUGCUCCUGAUCAAGAAAAAGUCAAUAUACGAUUUCAGAUACACAUUACUUGAAGAAAAAUACUCAAAAAUGAUCAACUGCUUUUACGUGUAGGUUUAAAUCGAGUGAUGCCGUCACUGGAAUGGCAGUCGUCGCCGUGUUGAUUGGUAUCACGUUAAUAGGACUUUUUUCGUGGAGAAUUAGUAGCUAUCAGGAAGCGAUAGCUAAUUGCGGUUUGACCAAAAUUUGUGACAGAGCUGCCAUCGAUUCCUUAAUGAUCAUCAGCGGCAUUUUAGCUGUAAUCGUCAACGGGAUCGUUGCCACAAAAGCAUCAUCGUUUGUUUCACAACAAAUAUGCUCAUGAAUUAUAUUUUUCUGUAACAUCGCCAGAGAACGAAUUGCACUUGGAUCAACCGAAUGUUUGCUAAACUGCUGAACCUUUCCACAAUGCAAAUUAAACAAAAUGAAAAGAACAAGAGCCUCUUUAUGUCAAUGUUUUAAAACUGCAUCAUCGGUCAUAUCGAUAAUUUGUUGUACGUGGAAGUUAACGGAAAAACGUACAACAUCUGCAGAAUAAUUGGAAACAAAUUUCGAUUACAUUUUCUAACCGAUAAAUCACCUCUGUGUUUCGAAAUACUGUACAACCAAUAAACUACUACGGUCAUUGGCCCUAUCAUUCAAAAAACAAUACAUGAAGCCGUUCAAUAACA